GACGAACGCUGGCGGCGUGCCUAAUACAUGCAAGUAGAACGCUGAAGGAGGAUAUUGCUUCUCUGGAUGAGUUGCGAACGGGUGAGUAACGCGUAGGUAACCUGCCUGGUAGCGGGGGAUAACUAUUGGAAACGAUAGCUAAUACCGCAUAAGAUUGACUAUUGCAUGAUAGUCAGUUCAAAGGUGCAAUUGCAUCACUACCAGAUGGACCUGCGUUGUAUUAGCUAGUUGGUGGGGUAACGGCCCACCAAGGCGACGAUACAUAGCCGACCUGAGAGGGUGGACGGCCAAACUGGGACUGAGACACGGCCCAAGCUCCUACGGGAGGGAGCAGGAGGGAAACUUCGGAAAAGGACGGAAGGCUGGACGAGCAACGCCGGGGGAGUGAAGAAGGGUUUCGGAUCGGAAAGGUCUGUUGUAAGAGAAGAAAGAGUGUGAGAGUGGAAAGUUCACACUGUGACGGUAUCUUAACAGAAAGGGACGGCUAACUACGUG
rnacentral:rRNA from 1 species